CACGUAGGCACCAAGCGUUGUCCGGAUUUAUUGGGCGUAAAGAGCUCGUAGGCGGUUUGUCGCGUCUGCUGUGAAAACCCGUGGCUCAACCUCGGGCCUGCAGUGGGUACGGGCAGACUAGAGUGCGGUAGGGGAGAUUGGAAUUCCUGGUGUAGCGGUGGAAUGCGCAGAUAUCAGGAGGAACACCAAUGGCGAAGGCAGAUCUCUGGGCCGUAACUGACGCUGAGGAGCGAAAGCAUGGGGAGCGAACAGG
rnacentral:rRNA from 1 species